AGUAGGAAAUCGGGAGACGCUGGCGCACCGCCAGGGCCGAAGGAGCAACCGCCCCGGGAAUCUCUCAGGCAAAGGGACCGUUUUCCUAUG
rnacentral:ncRNA from 2 species